UCAUGUUGGGGAUCUUGUUGAAAUUCACUUGUUCUCCAUUAAGUUCCCAUUACUGUAGACCACUUCAUUAGCCAGUCACUGAUGUGGAGUCUCCAACUAUCAAGGGCGGAACUCUCACACCUGAUAUGACUCAAGAUAAUUGAAGUGGUAGGAAAGUCCUCCCACAGCAGUGGGAAAACAGGGGUAAAUUUUUAAAUAAGCGUGCGUUGUGAACUUUUGCCGGCCAUCCAACAAAACUGUCAACAAAACGAUAAUUGCUGUCAACCAAUCCCUGCAAUGUUACUGCCUGGAAUCCUUUUCAAUUCACAUAAUCUUCCGGACUUUGGAGAGGUACAAUGACAGGCACAUGGCAACCAUCAAGAGCGGCCACUACUUGGGGAUGGAGACCUGCUUUCACUCCAAACUCAAGUAUUUCUAGAUCCAAAGGCAGAUGAGAGUGACCUACAAAAUGUACUUAUGUUUGAGAAAGUUUCAGCCUGUUGCUCAAAGAAAGCUACACAAACACCACUCAAAAACAUGAAGAUUGGCCAGCUGGACCACAACCUGGG